UACAGAGGGUGCGAGCGUUAAUCGGAAUUACUGGGCGUAAAGCGUGCGUAGACGGCUAUCUAAGUCGGGUGUGAAAGCCCCGGGCUCAACCUGGGAAUUGCAUUCGAGACUGAAUAGCUAGGGUACGGUAGAGGGAAGUGGAAUUUCCGGUGUAGCGGUGAAAUGCGUAGAUAUCGGAAGGAACAUCAGUGGCGAAAGCGACUUCCUGGACCAGUACCGACGUUCAGGCACGAAAGCGUUGGG
rnacentral:rRNA from 1 species